rnacentral:rRNA from 1 species
GAUGANCGCUAGCGGCAGGCUUAAUACAUGCAAGUCGAGGGGCAGCGCAGUGUAGCAAUACAUGGGCGGCGACCGGCAAACGGGUGCGGAACACGUACGCAACCUACCCAAAACUGGGGAAUAGCCCGGGGAAACCCGGAUUAAUACCUCGUAACCUAUUGGAGUGGCAUCACUUUAAUAGUAUAGCUCCGGCGGUUUUGGAUGGGCGUGCGCCUGAUUAGGUAGUUGGUGAGGGUAACGGCCCACCAAGCCUGCGAUCAGUAACUGGUGUGAGAGCACGACCAGUCACACGGGCACUGAGACACGGGCCCGACUCCUACGGGAGGCAGCAGUAAGGAAUAUUGGUCAAUGGACGCAAGUCUGAACCAGCCAUGCCGCGUGAAGGAUGAAGGUCCUCUGGAUUGUAAACUUCUUUUAUAUGGGACGAAACCUGGGAAUUCCUUCCCAAUUGACGGUACCAUAAGAAUAAGCACCGGCUAACUCCGUGCCAGCAGCCGCGGUAAUACGGAGGGUGCAAGCGUUAUCCGGAUUCACUGGGUUUAAAGGGUGCGUAGGAGGGUAGGUAAGUCAGUGGUGAAAUCUUCGAGCUUAACUCGGAAACUGCCGUUGAUACUAUCUAUCUUGAAUACCGUGGAAGUGAGCGGAAUAUGUCAUGUAGCGGUGAAAUGCUUAGAUAUGACAUAGAACACCAAUUGCGAAGGCAGCUCGCUACACGAAUAUUGACUCUGAGNACGAAAGCGUGGGAUCAACAGGAUUAGAUACCCUGGUAGUCCACGCCCUAACGAUGGAUACUCGACAUACGCGAUACACAGUGUGUGUCUGAGCGAAAGCAUAAGUAUCCCACCUGGGAGUACGACCGCAGGN